rnacentral:rRNA from 1 species
UACGAAGGGGGCUAGCGUUGUUCGGAAUUACUGGGCGUAAAGGGCGCGUAGGCGGUGUGUCAAGUCAGGCGUGAAAGCCCCGGGCUCAACCUGGGAACAGCGCUUGAGACUGGCACGCUCGAGUUCGGGAGAGGAUGGUGGAAUUCCCGGUGUAGAGGUGAAAUUCGUAGAUAUUGGGAAGAACACCGAUGGCGAAGGCAGCCAUCUGGACCGACACUGACGCUGAGGCGCGAAAGCGUGGGGAGCAAACAGG